rnacentral:rRNA from 2 species
GAUGAACGCCGGCGGUGUGCCUAAUACAUGCAAGUCGAGCGCACUGGCCCAACUGAUAUGACGUGCUUGCACUGAAUUGACGUUGGAUUCCCAGUGAGCGGCGGACGGGUGAGUAACACGUGGGCAACCUGCCCUGAAGCGGGGGAUAACAUCUGGAAACAGGUGCUAAUACCGCAUAACAACGAAAACCACAUGGUUUUCGUUUCAAAGAUGGUUUCGGCUAUCACUUCAGGAUGGGCCCGCGGUGCAUUAGCUAGUUGGUAAGGUAACGGCUUACCAAGGCGAUGAUGCAUAGCCGAGUUGAGAGACUGAUCGGCCACAAUGGAACUGAGACACGGUCCAUACUCCUACGGGAGGCAGCAGUAGGGAAUCUUCCACAAUGGGCGCAAGCCUGAUGGAGCAACACCGCGUGAGUGAAGAAGGGUUUCGGCUCGUAAAGCUCUGUUGUUGGAGAAGAACGUGCGUGAGAGUAACUGUUCACGCAG